rnacentral:RNase_MRP_RNA from 14 species
GCCCUGAGAAGCGUAUUUUUGAGGCAAGUAGGAGCUUACUUUCGUUCGAGUUAGUGCCCGCUUUUGUCAAUAUUUUGCCUCGAUAAAUAUACUCAAUGGGGCCUACUCUUA